rnacentral:rRNA from 1 species
UACGGGGGGGGCAAGCGUUGUUCGGAAUUACUGGGCGUAAAGGGCUCGUAGGUGGUCAACUAAGUCAGACGUGAAAUCCCUCGGCUUAACCGGGGAACUGCGUCUGAUACUGGAUGGCUUGAGUUUGGGAGAGGGACGCGGAAUUCCAGGUGUAGCGGUGAAAUGCGUAGAUAUCUGGAGGAACACCGGUGGCGAAGGCGGCGUCCUGGACCAACACUGACACUGAGGAGCGAAAGCCAGGGGAGCAAACGGG